UUACACAUGCAAGUCGAACGGUAACAGGCCGCAAGGNGCUGACGAGUGGCNAACGGGUGAGUAAUGCAUCGGAACGUGCCCAGUCGUGGGGGAUAACUGCUCGAAAGAGCAGCUAAUACCGCAUACGAUCUAUGGAUGAAAGCGGGGGACCGUAAGGNCUCGCGCGAUUGGAGCGGCCGAUGUCAGAUUAGGUAGUUGGUGGGGUAAAGGNUCACCAAGCCAACGAUCUGUAGCUGGUCUGANAGGACGACCAGCCACACUGGGACUGAGACACGGCCCAGACUCCUACGGGAGGCAGCAGUGGGGAAUUUU
rnacentral:rRNA from 1 species